GGGGGGGGCAAGCGUUGUUCGGAAUUACUGGGCGUAAGGGCUCGUAGGCGGCCAACUAAGUCCGACGUGAAAUCCCCAGGCUUAACCUGGGAACUGCGUCGGAUACUGGAUGGCUUGAAUUCGGGAGAGGGAUGCAGAAUUCCAGGUGUAGCGGUGAAAUGCGUAGAUAUCUGGAGGAAUACCGGUGGCGAAGGCGGCAUCCUGGACCGACAUUGACGCUGAGUGAGCGAAAGCUAGGGGAGCAAACGGGAUUAGAUACCCCGGUAGUCCUAGCCCUAAACGAUGAAUGCUUGGUGUGGCGGGUAUCGAUCCCUGCCGUGCCGAAGCUAACGCAUUAAGCAUUCCGCCUGGGGAGUACGGUCGCAAGGCUG
rnacentral:rRNA from 1 species